GAUGAAGAACGCAGCGAAAUGUGAUACGUAAUGUGAAUUGCAGAAUUCAGUGAAUCAUCGAAUCUUUGAACGCAUAUUGCGCUCUCUGGUAUUCCGGAGAGCAUGCUUGUUUGAGUAUCAGUAAACACCUCAACUUCCAUAUCUUUUUUGAAAUGGGAGUUGGACUUGAGUGAUCCCAACGCUUUUCCUCACCGAAAAGUGGCGGGUUACUUGAAAUGCAGGUGCAGCUGGACUUUUCUCUGAGCUAUAAGCAUAUCUAUUUAGUCUGCCUAAAAAACAGAUUAUUACCUUUGCUGCAGCUAACAUAAAGGAGAUUAGUUCUUGUGCUGACUGAUGCAGGAUUCACAAAGACAGCUUCGGCCGACUUUGUAAACUCGAUCUCAAAUCAAGUAAGACUACCCGCUGAACUUAAGCAUAUCAAUAAGCGGAGGA
rnacentral:misc_RNA from 1 species